ACCAGGGAGGCAACACACCACGUGGGACUCUCAAUGAUGGCUACACAAAUGCCUAGACAGAUUUACAAAUUACAUUACACAAAUUACAUAAAUUCUAGCCUAGACAAAUUCCUCCCCUCACUAUGGAAUCUACUAUAACAACUGUAUUUCUACUCUUUGCUUUUCUGUCCUGGACAGUCCCUUGCCCCAUUGGUGCCAUGGUCUGAAUUGCACUCCUCCAAGGUGUCAUCACUCCCAGAAGUUUCUCAUAACAAAUUACUCUUUGAGAAAGAUUUCAGAUCUGGGAAAAUACAUCAUUUGAUCAAGACCAAGGAGAAGAAGAGGGAGUUAUGUCACAUGACCUCAUCCAAGUUGCUAGAAUCCAUAAUAUUGCUGUGUGGAACUGAACCCAAGCAGUCUUCCAUUUUACCACCUAACAUGUUGCAGCAAACAAAGCUCUGCUCAGGUGAAAUGCCUGAUCCUCAUCUACACUGUGAACAACUGAAACAGUGGAACUCCUGUUUCUGUGCCUUCAAGACUAAUUCACCUCCACGUGUCUCAUCCCAUCGUGGAAGUCCUCGCUUCUAGAAAGUCGGAUCACCCUGUAACAGUUUCAGCCUGCUAACCUCUGAAGGAAUAUGCCACUGGACUUUUGACUCUGGACUCUGGACUCACAUGAAGCCAUAACUCUUAUUUUUAUCGUGGCCUUGCCCUGUACCCUUUUCUUUCCCUUAUCCCUCAUUUAUUGUAUGAGUAAAAAAAGGGGGCAGAUGUUGCAAAACCUCAUUCCCAAGUUUUGUGUGUUUGUGUAAAUUAAACCAGCCCACUUACUUUUCCUUA